UACGAAGGGGGCUAGCGUUGUUCGGAAUUACUGGGCGUAAAGCGUGCGCAGGCGGUUUUGUAAGCCAGAUGUGAAAUCCCCGGGCUUAACCUGGGAAUGGCAUUUGGGACUGCAAGGCUUGAGUGCGGCAGAGGAGACUGGAAUUCCUGGUGUAGCAGUGAAAUGCGUAGAUAUCAGGAGGAACACCGAUGGCGAAGGCAGGUCUCUGGGCUGACACUGACGCUCAUGCACGAAAGACGUGGGG
rnacentral:rRNA from 1 species